GUGUAUUUGUCUGGUUUCUCCAACUAUGAAAUUCUUACCUCUAACCCCACCCCCUUCAUACUGUACUCCUUGGAACAAAGUCACUAUGCCAACACUUAAGGAGUUGAGAGAAUUGAUAGGGUGGAAAUCUAGAGGCACCAUAUGAUGUCCUUCUGAAGAAAAGUUCAGGGGGUCAUGAAACCCAGGCUUUAUACCCCCAGAAAACUGCCAAGUGUAUGGAUUCUCCUUCACCAGGGGGCCAGGUGAUUCUUGAAGGAAUCACAAAGAGAAUACUUUGAGAUGGGAAAAAAAUCUCAGAAAAUUUGUCAUUUUGUAAGAUGCUGAUCUCCUGAAUAUUUCUCCAAGCGACCCAGACAUGUGUCCGAUCUAAAUAAGGAGGCAUCUUCAGAAAUUCUUCACAAACACCCCCAAGAAAUCAUAAAGUGAGGGUCUGUGACCUUUGCCUUUGCAAAGAAAAAUGUGUAGAUCUUCCCACUGACCGAAGAAUGAAAAUCUCAUUAAAAACUUGUUUCAGAGA